AUUGAACGCUGGCGGCAGGCUUAACACAUGCAAGUCGAACGAUGGAACCUAGCUUGCUAGGGGAAAUAGUGGCGAACGGGUGAGUAACAUUUAGGAAACUGCCUUAUAGAGGGGGAUAGCUCGGGGAAACCCGAAUUAAUACCGCAUACGUCCUACGGGAGAAAAGAGCUUUAGGGUUCUGCUAUAAGAUGUGCCUAAAUUAGAUUAGCUAGAUGGUGAGGUAAAGGCUCACCAUGGCGACGAUCUAUAACUGGUCUUAGAGGAUGAUCAGUCACACCGGAACUGAGACACGGUCCGGACUCCUACGGGAGGCAGCAGUGGGGAAUAUUGGACAAUGGGGGAAACCCUGAUCCAGCCAUGCCGCGUGUGUGAAGAAGGUCAUAAGAUUGUAAAGCACUUUUAAGCAGGGAGAAGAGCUAGUCAAGAAACGGGCUAGUAGUGACGUUACCUGCAGAAUAAGCACCGGCUAACUCUGUGCCAGCAGCCGCGGUAAUACAGAGGGUGCGAGCGUUAAUCGGAAUUACUGGGCGUAAAGCGGGUGCAGGUGGUGCACUAAGUCAUAUGUGAAAGCCCUGGGCUUAACCUAGGAACAGCAUAUGAUACUGGUGAACUAGAGUAUAUGAGAGGAAAGUAGAAUUCCAGGUGUAGCGGUGAAAUGCGUAGAGAUCUGGAGGAAUACCGAUGGCGAAGGCAGCUUUCUGGCACAAUACUGACACUCAGACCCGAAAGCGUGGGUAGCAAACAGGAUUAGAUACCCUGGUAGUCCACGCCGUAAACGAUGUCUACUAGCCGUUGGGGCUCAUGAAGCCUUAGUGGCGCAGCUAACGCGAUAAGUAGACCGCCUGGGGAGUACGGCCGCAAGGUUAAAACUCAAAUGAAUUGACGGGGGCCCGCACAAGCGGUGGAGCAUGUGGUUUAAUUCGAUGCAACGCGAAGAACCUUACCUGGUCUUGACAUAGUGAGGAUCCUACAGAGAUGUGGGAGUGCCCUCGGGAACUCACAUACAGGUGCUGCAUGGCUGUCGUCAGCUCGUGUCGUGAGAUGUUG
rnacentral:rRNA from 1 species